UGCAGAGCUAAUUUAAAAUCUAUGAACAAUUGGUUCAGGAUCGAAUCUACGUCAUGGAAAGUCAAUAGACCGGUUGACCAGUGGGCAAAUACGGAGCGUAUGCUGACACAGUAUCAAAACCUUCAGCACAACAUGAGGGCCAUGGAGCGACGGUUAGAACAGCCCUUGUAAAUGGUUAGGGCGCUUUAACGUCAUCACUUUGUUAAAGACAACUAAAGAAGACAAUAUGAUGCAAAGUGUACAAUUUGAGAACUAGUUGCAACUUGAUCGAUAAUUAACAUCUUGUUUCAAGGACUGGGGACUAGGAUUCCCUAACUUCUUAAUUUGUUCAACACAUAAAAACUUUCUCUCUCUCUCUCUCUCUCUCUCUCU
rnacentral:sRNA from 1 species